ACCUGGCUGACUCAGUUGGUAGAGCAUGCGACUCUUGAUCAUGGGGUCAUGAGUUCAAGCCCCAUGUUGGGUG
rnacentral:tRNA from 1 species